CAAAGGCCCCAAAGGAAGCCACGGCUAACUCUGUGCCAGCAGCCGCGGUAAUACAGAGGUGGCAAGCGUUGUUCGGUAUUAUUGGGCGUAAAGAGCACGUAGGUGGUUCUGUAAGUCAGAUGUGAAAGCCUUCUGUUCAAAGGAAGAACGGCAUCUGAAACUACAGAUCUUGAGUGUAGGAGGGGAGAGUGGAACUUCUGGUGGAGCGGUGAAAUGCGUAGAUAUCAGAAGGAACGUCGGCGGCGAAAGCGACUCUCUGGCCUAUUACUGACACUGAGUGUGCGAAAGUUAGGGGAGCAAACGGGAUUAGAUACCCCGGUAGUCCUAGCCGUAAA
rnacentral:rRNA from 1 species